rnacentral:misc_RNA from 1 species
GUCCUAUUAGCCGCACGUUGCCUGCAACAUGCUCUAGCUUUCCAGAGUCAAGAGUCUAUGGAGAGAGAGAGUGUGUUGGAAAGGAGAGAAAAUACAGGUUCAUCUUGUAUACUUAACUCUGUUAUGUCUUUUAUAAACAAAAGCCAAGAACCAAUUUGUGCAAGACCCAGUAGUGUUUGUAACCGAAAUCAAGAAAAUGAGGCUAGCCAUUAUAUCCCUCUUGACUCUUCUGCUAGUUUCUCAUCUUCUUUCUCAUCUGCUUUAUGAUUUUGCAGAUGCUCUCUUCUGUUUUUAGGAUGCUUUUAGUAUUCUUUCACAUGAUAUUAUUCAUUACUAGACUCUUUAAUACUCGGUAUCAACCUUGCAUUAUGUAAUUCUACUUUCUUAUUUGCUGUUACUUCAGUACUUGAAGAUCUUGUUGGUGGGCUCAGGCUAUUCUCUUUUCUAAUUUGUAUAUCAAAUUCUUCUCCGAUCAGAGAAAGAGGCAAAAUCACAGAUUCUUUUCUUUCUUUAAAACUUUUCUUUUCCAGUGUGUGCCCUCUCAAAUUCCUUGAAUUUUUUUCUAGGAAUCAGUCUUUUGUCAGAUUUGUUGGUUUAGAUAGGGAAACUCAUUCAUUUGGUACUGUUAUUAAAACUAUGGGUUUGUUCCAAUUUAGAUUCUUGUGUUUGUGUCUUUUCCUUGCGUUCAAAACCAGUAUUACUAGUUCUCAGUAUAUAGGCCAGAUAUAUCCUGGUUUCCAAGCAUCUCAUAUGGAUUGGAUAGAGGAGAGGGGCCUAUUCUUGCUAUCUAAGAACUCAACUUUUGGUUUUGGCUUCUAUACUGCCCUUGAUGCUCAUUCUUAUUUACUAGUUGUCAUCCACUUGAAAAGUUCCAAAGUUGUUUGGACUGCUAAUAGAGGUUUGUUGAUCAGUGAUUCUGAUCACUUUGUGUUUGAAAAAAAUGGAAAUGUUUAUUUGCAACGUGGGGAUGGUGUGGCUUGGUUCACAGGUACUGAAGGGCAAAGAGUUACUUCUAUGGAACUGAUGGACUCAGGUAACUUGGUGUUGCUUGGGGACAAUGGAAGUAUUCUUUGGCAGAGUUUUAACUAUCCCACAGACACGCUGUUACCCGGCCAAGAGUUUGUAGAAGGAAUGAGACUUAAAAGUUUCAAAAAGAAUACCUUGUAUAAUUAUCUUGAAUUUAAGUCUGGCGAUUUGGUAUUGUAUGCAGGAUACACAACUCCACAAGUAUACUGGUCCCUGGCAAAUGAAAGCCGGAAAACCAAUAAUAGGGUUAAUGGCAAAGUGCACUCUGCAUCUCUGGUUUCCAAUUCAUGGAAUUUCUAUGAUCAAAAUAGACUCUUGCUUUGGCAGUUCAUAUUCUCUGAUAAUUCUGACCCACAUGCUAUGUGGGCUCUAACAUUAGGCUCUGAUGGGGCAAUUGGGUUCUAUAAUUUUGAAAAAGGAAAGUCAGUUAUCCUCGAGGCAACUAAGAUACCUCAAAAUCCCUGCAGUGUUCCAGAACCGUGUGACAGAUACUAUGUGUGCUAUUUUGACAAUCGGUGUCAAUGCCCACCGCAACUCAAUACUCAUUUUGGUUGCAAACCUCCAGUGGCCUCAACCUGUAAUGGCUCCAAAAAUUCAGCUGAGCUUUUUUAUGUUGGUGAGAAGCUGGAUUAUUUUGCACUUGAGUUUGUGACGCCCUUCUUCAAAUCCAAUUUAAAUGCUUGCAAAGAAGCUUGUCUUGGAAACUGUUCUUGCAUUGUGUUGUUCUUUGAAAAUAGUACUGGAAGGUGCUUUCUGUUUGAUCAGGUAGGGAGUUUGACUCGCAGUCGGGAGGGUUCUUCAGGUUAUAUUUCAUAUAUGAAGGUGUCAGUGGGGGAGCGAAAUUCGGCCAGUAGUAGGAAUGUAGGGAAGGAAGCCCUAUUGAUUGCAAUCAUUGUUAUUGCAACAGUAGUGGCAAUUGCUUGUUUACUUUAUGUGGGAAUCUGGUAUCGCCGCAGAUGGAAGAAGUACUUGGAAUUUCAACAGCAAAACCAGGAUGGGGAUGAUUUCUGGGACAGUCUUCCUGGGAUGCCUGCUCGCUACAUCUUCAGUGAUCUUUGUAAAGCAACUAAAAACUUCUCCGUGAAGGUUGGACAAGGAGGCUUUGGCUCAGUCUACCUAGGUGUGCUGCCAGAUGGUACCCAGUUGGCUGUCAAAAAAUUGGAAGGCAUUGGACAGGGGAAGAAAGAGUUCAGGGCUGAAGUGAGUAUCAUCGGGAGCAUCCAUCAUGUCCAUCUGGUCAAGCUUAAAGGCUUCUGUGCUGAAGGGGCUCACCGGCUUCUUGUUUAUGAAUUCAUGGGGAACAGCUCUCUGGAUAAAUGGAUCUUCAAGAAUAAUGAAGAAAGUUCCUUGUUAGAAUGGAAUACAAGAUUCAAUAUCGCACUUGGUAUGGCAAAAGGUCUGGCUUAUCUUCAUGAGGAGUGUGAGGUGAAAAUAGUCCACUGUGACAUAAAACCUCAGAAUGUGCUUCUUGAUGAUAAUUUCACUGCCAAAGUUUCUGAUUUUGGUUUGGCAAAGCUAAUGAAUCGUGAAGACAGUCUUGUUUAUACUACAGUGAGGGGUACUAGAGGGUAUCUUGCACCAGAAUGGAUCAGCAACAGCCCUAUAUCAGAGAAGAGUGAUGUGUAUAGCUAUGGUAUAGUCUUGCUGGAGAUCAUUGGGGGAAGGAAGAACUACGAUUCAUCAGAAAGUUCAGAGAAAUCCCAUUUUCCUUCUUAUUCCUUCAAGAUGUUGGAAGAAGGAAGAUUGAGAGAAAUCAUUGAUCCAAAGCUGGACAUCAAUGAAAAUGAUGUGAGGGUUGUCACUGCAAUCAAAGUUGCAUUAUGGUGCAUUCAAGAAGAGAUGCAAUUGAGACCGCCUAUGACUAAAGUGGUCCAAAUGCUUGAAGGUCUCUGUGAUGUGCCGGACCCUCCAAUUUCUUCUCAAUCAGCUUCUCGCUCUAUGUCAAGUGUCAUCAAAUGGAACGGCAAAGAAUGUUCCUCUUCGGGCUUUGUUGAUGACACAAGUGAUGCAUUUCUCUCAGAUACUGGACUCUCAGGCCCUAGAUGACAGAAGCAAUCAUUACAAAGAUGCUUUUUAGCACAAAUUCAACCUUUGAAAGAUGAGAUGUUUCAUACAUUUUCUCCAUAUCAUUGUGAGCCACCAAACUCCAGGUGUUAGUGAUGCUUUUCUUUAUCUGUAUUCAUAUAGUUCUUAAGGCCUCAAUGCUUUCUCCAGUCUCUCCAUGAAAAUUUUUUGAACAAGUUGUGAAAUUUUUGUUCUAAUUUAACCUGCAUAGUGAAACUCAAAGCCCUUGAGUCACGAGCCUUUUGGUUACAUUGCAGAUCAAAUUCUGCAAUCGCAUAGAUAGAAAUGGCUGUGGUAAGACACUGAUGUUUGAGUUGUUCUUGUAUUUUCAGCAGUUAGAUGGAGAAAUAUUAUGUUGAUAUAAACAAAUUUAUGUCAUUAGUAGCUUGGCUCCACACCUAAUAAUAACUACAGACAUGCA